GGUUCGAUUCCGGAGAGGGAGCCUGAGAAACGGCUACCACANCNNUNNAAGGCAGCAGGCGCGCAAAUUACCCAAUCCCGACACGGGGAGGUAGUGACAAUAAAUAACAAUACGGGGCUCUUUCGGGUCUCGUAAUUGGAAUGAGUACAAUUUAAAUCCCUUAACGAGGAACAAUUGGAGGGCAAGUCUGGUGCCAGCAGCCGCGGUAAUUCCAGCUCCAAUAGCGUAUAUUAAAGUUGUUGCAGUUAAAAAGCUCGUAGUUGAAUUUCGGGAUUGACACAUCGGUCGUGCCUUAAGGGGUAUGAACUGGUGUAGUCAAUUUCUCACCUUCUGGAGAACCGCGAUGCCCUUAAUUGGGUGUCACGGGGAACCAGGACCUUUACUUUGAAAAAAUUAGAGUGUUUAAAGCAGGCAUUUUGCUUGAAUACAUUAGCAUGGAAUAAUAAAAUAGGACGGCAUGAUUCUAUUUUGUUGGUUUCUAGGAUCACCGUAAUGAUUAAUAGGGAUAGUUGGGGGCAUUAGUAUUCAAUUGUCAGAGGUGAAAUUCUUGGAUUUAUUGAAGACUAACUACUGCGAAAGCAUUUGCCAAGGAUGUUUUCAUUAAUCAAGAACGAAAGUUAGGGGAUCGAAGACGAUCAGAUACCGUCGUAGUCUUAACCAUAAACUAUGCCGACUAGGAAUCAGACGAUGUUAAUUUUUUAAUGACUCGUUUGGCACCUUACGGGAAA
rnacentral:rRNA from 1 species